UUGACCCUUUAAGAUUAAGAGUUUGUGUCCAGUCUGCACCAUUCCUUGAUUCCAAAACCCUCCGAACCUCCCUGGUUUAGUAUGGUUAAUUAAGUAGCUUCAGGUUCUGCUAUCUAUCCACAUCCCUGCGCAGCGGUUGCUUGUCUUUGUAUGGGCAUAUUUUAUCUCCUCCGCUGCAACGCUGUAAUAUUCCCUUUAUUGAGUGCAUAUCGCUUUUGUUCAGAAAUAUGAAGGUAAGUCGUGCCUUUGUCUGAGAGAGCCGAUGAUGAAUAACUCCCAGGGCCCAUUUGGGGCCUGGCUUGUGUUAACGGCUUGUACACCUAGAUUUUCAGGGCGGCGCUGCUCUUUUCAAUUGACGCUCGCCGCAAUAAAGGAACGAACAUUAUAAUAACCCAGCUGAAAGAGACGUCGGGUUAGCUGUGCGACAGCACUGGCAGCUAUGUGCGGGCAGAGUGCCGUGAUCCGGCAGGAUUAUCUGCGGCGGUGGUGUGGCAGGCGCUAAGGGAGAGGGGCUUUUAUUAUGGAGUGUUUUAUUGCUGACGGGGGUAAGACUGGCAGGGGAGGAGAUGCAAUAAAAGGCAGCUGUAAAAUAUUGCGCCCUGAGCUUCCAGUUGUCCUGUCGCUUGGUGGAAGAAUUACAGUGUGGUUGUGGGGGUGAUUGAAGGAGGAGCGGAAAUGAGGAGAGGAGAUGGAGGAGACACGGUGAGAGCGGAGGAGAGUGCUGCCAUCUUAUGGUCGUAUGCAGUCCUGCUCCUGCCUGCUGCUGGGCCCCAGUUCAUGCCUUGUUUGAAUGGCUUCAGGUUAUAUUUCCACUCAGCCAUACAAUUGGAACGGCCCGUUUUGGAACAGUGGGCUCACACCUGUAGCUGACAGCCAGUGUGACAGGUCUCUUCAAAGUCUGUGUUUACAGAACGGCUCCUCAUGACUACAUGAAAGAAUGGAAGAGAUGAAAAUCCUCUUUGAAAGACAAGAGCUGGAUAGCUUGCCUGCUGCAUUUUCUAAGUCUCUAGCCCAACACUACACAAUAGUAACUGGAUGAACCCAACAAGCCAUGUAACCGUGCAGCUCUCUGAAGGACUCGCUGUGGUCACAGCAAAAGUGAGUCAACGGAAAUCAGUUCUGGCAGACUGUCACCGCUGCGAGGUCACAGCCUGUUAGAGUGUGGGCAGCACAUGCACUAGACUUCAAGAAUGAAAACAACUGACAGCUGCAGAGAGUUAAAGCACUGUCAGAAACAAAGACCCUGAGGGGAAAAUAAUGAACAGUUCAUUCAUCCUCAUAUUGUGAUACACAUGAAAGGAUAUUUAUUCUGUGGAAACUACUUGUUUCUUAUGCUGCUUAUGCUGGAAGACUUCCAUGUUUUUUAUUAUGAGUUUUUUGGCAUUUGCGCUAGAUCUGUUAAUUGUAACAUUCCUCUUUUUGGACGAAUAUCCUUCAUAGAGAAUCAUUGUCUUAUUUUUACAAAGAUAAUUACAUUUCAAAAUAUAAUGAAAGUUUCCAAACAGAUGUCUGGCAGGCGUCCAUUAACUCCAUUAAAAAAUAUUUAUCAGUAUCUGUUAAAGGGAUAGUUCCAAAAAUGAAAAUACUGUUAUCAUUUAUUCACCCUCGUGUCAUGAGUUAUUGAAAGCAGAAUAUCCGAGCUGCUUUGUUCCCAUUUUUUUAAGAUGAAUUUUAGCCUGUUCCUCACGCUAUCACUUCCAAAUACUUGGAAUAUGAUGCAUAUGGACCUAGUUUUUGUUGGAGCUUGACAGCCCCUGGUCCCCAUGCCAAAAGAGCAGCGUCAACAUUCUGCUAAACUUGUUCCACAUAUAGGUUUGAGUAAAUCAGGGCCGUAACCACCAACGACAUUGAGG